rnacentral:rRNA from 1 species
CAGUAGCCACGGUAAUACGGAGGGUGCAAGCGUUAAUCGGAUUUACUGGGCGUAAAGCGUGCGUAGGCGGCUAAUUGAGUCGGAUGUGAAAUCCCCGAGCUUAACUUGGGAAUUGCAUUCGAUACUGGUUAGCUAGAGUGUGGGAGAGGAUGGUAGAAUUCCAGGUGUAGCGGUGAAAUGCGUAGAGAUCUGGAGGAAUACCGAUGGCGAAGGCAGCCAUCUGGCCUAACACUGACGCUGAGGUACGAAAGCAUGGGGAGCAAACAGGAUUAGAUACCCGAGUAGUCCCUGUCUCUUAUAC